UGAGAGUAGCUCAGUCAGUAAAGCAUGAGACUCUUAAUUUCAGGGUUGUGGGUUUGAGACCCACAAUGGGCAAAA